rnacentral:rRNA from 1 species
GACAGAGGCCUCAAGCGUUAGGCGGAAUCACUGGGCUUAAAGCGUGUGUAGGCGGAUGCCUAAGUACCUUGUGAAAUCCCACGGCUCAACCGUGGAACUGCUGGGUAUACUGGGUGUCUUGGGCCAUUCAGGGGCGACUGGAACAAGCGGUGGAGCGGUGAAAUGCGUAGAUAUCGUCUGGAACGCCGAAGGUGAAAACAGCUCGCUGGGGCCGCGCUGACGCUGAGACUCGAAAGCCAGGGGAGCAAACGGG